GACGAACGCUGGCGGCGUGCUUAACACAUGCAAGUCGAACGGAAAGGCCCUGCUUGCCGGGUACUCGAGUGGCGAACGGGUGAGUAACACGUGGGUGAUCUGCCCUGCACUUCGGGAUAAGCCUGGGAAACUGGGUCUAAUACCGGAUAGGAGCCAUUUUUAGUGUGAUGGUUGGAAAGUUUUUUCGGUGUAGGAUGAGCUCGCGGCCUAUCAGCUUGUUGGUGGGGUAAUGGCCUACCAAGGCGGCGACGGGUAGCCGGCCUGAGAGGGUGGACGGCCACAUUGGGACUGAGAGGCGGCCCAGACUCCUACGGGAGGCAGCAGUGGGGAAUAUUGCACAAUGGGCGCAAGCCUGAUGCAGCGACGCCGCGUGGGGGAUGACGGCCUUCGGGUUGUAAACUCCUUUCGCUAGGGACGAAGCUGUUUGUGACGGUACCUAGAGAAGAAGCACCGGCUAACUACGUG
rnacentral:rRNA from 1 species